rnacentral:rRNA from 1 species
UGGCGCACGGGUGCGUAACGCGUGGGAAUCUGCCCUUUGCUUCGGAAUAACAGUUAGAAAUGACUGCUAAUACCGGAUAAUGACGCAAGUCCAAAGAUUUAUCGGCAAAGGAUGAGCCCGCGUAGGAUUAGCUAGUUGGUGGGGUAAAAGCUCACCAAGGCGACGAUCUGUAGCUGGUUUGAGAGAACGACCAGCCACACUGGGACUGAGACACGGCCCAG